GGAGGGACCGUCUCAGCCCCUGCCUUUCACUCCUGUUAUUGAGCAUGCCUUCGUUGAGCUGAGACCCAGGCUUCUCUGACAAACUCUGUUGAGGAAACUGGAAAUGAUCUACUAAAGAAUAUAGAUCGCUGAGUCUGAUGUUGUACGAAACUCAUAAUACCUGACUGGGGAAAAAAAAAAACCAAUGUAGGAAAAGUGAGUGUCACCAGAAAGAACACAGAAUGAAGUUCCAGGAGGAGGCUAUGGCUCUGGCUGCCACCACCGGUUGAGCUGGUCAGCAGGAAGUUUGACGUGCCAGAAAAACAAGGGAGGGAACAAGAAAGGCAUUUUUCCAACUUAUCCAGAUGCCUCGGAGCCUAGAGUUGAUUGGCUGAAGAGAACUGAUUUGACUUUCCUGCUCAACUGUUAGUUCCAUGAAGGCAACAGCCAUGCCUGCUUCGUUCACUGAAAUAUCUUCGUUUCCUAACACACAGAAAGUCAUCAUUUUUUGACGGAUGAAAGAAUGGAUGAAUGCCUAGUCUUGGAGACAUCUACUUGCAAUAAAGGUGAAGAAACAGAGGCAAAGGGAGCAUAAGCAAUUUUCCAAAGGCCAUACAACAUGUAAGUGGCUGAGCCAAGACUGAAAUCACCAGGUUCUUAACCACUAGGCCAUAUUGCAUUGGAGUGUUGCCUCCUGGAGUAAGACUAGGCUAAAAGCUUCAUAGAAACCUAAAGGAGUUAGAGAAGGAAGAUCUCUCAAUGGAAAUGCUAAGAAGAGACACAAGGAAAGACACAUCACUAAGGAGAGACCCAAGGAAAAUGGCUCUAUGACUACAGUCCAUUUAAAGAAUGAGGGCGUUCCUUCUACCAAGUUACAGGUGGAGAUGUGUUUACCUGCUGGAUACCAAUGCUUCUAGCAUCAGGGAGAAGUUGAGCCCUGGAGGAAACAUUGCCUCUAAGUUUGUGUUCUGGUGCUACAUACUGCAAAGCAAAGUAUCUACAACAACUGCAAUAAGCCACCCUGAUCAUUCUUCAACCUAAAGAUUUGCAACUCAUCCAAGUUCAACUGGUUGAAAGAGCCUGCCUCCUCACAGCAGUGCCUGAUUGACACUAUGAACUGAAAUACUAAAGGCACUUCUUCUUUCAGGAUAACUGAUUAAAUGUUCUGGCUGGUAAAGCAGGUCAUCACUCAACUGUUGUGGCUUUGGCAAGAUGCCACCAAAGCAGCCCAUCAUGGUUGGCAGAGAUGUAAAGGCCCCACAUAUUACAGAACACCCUUUGAUAUGCAGACUAAUUAAUAGAAGACCUAAGCCUUUCAAGGGACUUCUAUACCAUAGGAUGUUAGGAGACAUCAAGAACACAAAUGAAACUAAGAUUUUCAUACAGGGUUCAGGUUUUGUUACUUCAGAUCUAUAAUCUAAAGUUCUGUAAUCAUCACAUCACUCCAAGAACAAAAUUUGAUAGGCAAAAUUCUUCACACUCAUUUCAUGGAGAACCUUGAGGGUCCAGAGUGAGGCUUGAUGGCAAGCAGGAGCUCCCUGUCCCCUGUCUCCACCCAUGCAACCCCUAGCUCCCCCAUUGUUUUCACUCUAGAUUUGUGAAGUAUAACAACCUUAAAAUCUUAAGAUUUAAUCUUUAAAUAUUAAGAGAUUUGGGUUUCUGUAUCAACAAUCUUUAAAUAUUAAGAGAUUUUUCCGAAGAUUAAUGACUUUCCUAGAGUUGGCCUACAAAUUCACCACCUCAACUGGAUGACUUGCUUUGGAAUAAAUUUCUAACACCGCAAGUGAAUUGAAUAUUUUCUUCCUUUUUUAUGUAAUCUAAUAUAGUACAUUUUUAAAAAUUUAUAGGAUGUCCAGACACUUAUAGCUUAUCAUUCUAUGAUUCAAAAGAAUUUGGUAUAAUUGCAUUGAUAAGCUUACUGCCCUGGGCACCAAAGUAACCUAGAAUAUGGAGAAGUAGCUUUUGGUGACAUGCAUCUAUUUAUAUCUCUAGCAUUUACUAAUUAAUUAAUUUGUUUAACAAAUACACAUUCAGUACCAUUAUAUGUUUGGCAUUGUCAUAGAUGUUAGAAAAUCAAAUAUAAAAAAGAGGUAAUUUCUUCACAACACACGGAAAUAAGAGUAUCUCUAGGAAUUGUCUCUAGUUGAAAUUGUUUUCUCCUACCCACCUCUACGAUUCAUCAAUUUAGCUUUCCUUCACUGUAGUGACAGGUGUUUUAAUCUCACCUAACAAUAUGCCUGAUUAAGCUUCAACAUACACAGAGAGAGGCCUGAAAAACAUAACUUGGUCUCUAUGUCUAAGUUUAUGUUGUUAGUAAUAGUUAUAAGAGCCACAGCGAUGGCACCAUGGCGUUACCUUCUCUGAAGGCUUUCCCAGCUUUCCUAGCAAAGCUCUUUUCUCUUCCCUCUGGUUAAAAAAUAAAUAAAAAAAAAAUAAAGGUUUUUCCUUUAUUGUUAUUCUUAUGUGUCUGAUUUUAUCACAUUUAUUGUUUUGUUUUCUGAUUGUAUAAGUCAUACAUGCUCAUUUAGAAAACUUGGAAACUAUGGAAAAAGAGAAAUAAAAAAUAAAAUCCAC
rnacentral:lncRNA from 1 species